rnacentral:lncRNA from 1 species
GACAAAAAUAUUGUGCAUAAGGGACGACAUCAAAAGUUCAAUGUAGGAUAAAAAACUUAAUUCACAUAGUUUUUUCGCUGACCCCCCUACCCCCCUUCUUAACUUAAUUUGGGAAAAAUUGAUUUACCUAUAUGGAUAUAUGUAAAAUCGAUUUUAGAUUAACAAAACUUGCAGCAAUGUUGACCCCCCACCCCCAAACUAUUCGAUUUAAGUUUUUUAUCCUACAUCGAUCUUUUGAUGUCGUCCCUAACUUCCAU